rnacentral:rRNA from 1 species
CUAAUACAUGCAAGUCAAGCGCGGGAAGCCGGACAGAUCCCUUCGGGGUGACGACCGGUGGAACGAGCGGCGGAUGGGUGAGUAACACGUGGGCAACCUGCCUGUAAGCCUGGGAUAACUCGCGGAAACGCGAGCUAAUACCGGAUGCGCCUUUUGUUCGCAUGAACGAAAGGUAAAAGGCGGUUUUUGCUGUCACUUACAGAUGGGCCCGCGGCGCAUUAGCUAGUUGGUGAGGUAACGGCUCACCAAAGCGACGAUGCGUAGCCGACCUGAGAGGGUGAUCGGCCACACUGGGACUGAGACACGGCCCAGACUCCUACGGGAGGCAGCAGUAGGGAAUCUUCCGCAAUGGACGAAAGUCUGACGGAGCGACGCCGCGUGAGUGAUGAAGGUCUUCGGAUCGUAAAACUCUGUUGUUAGGGAAGAACAGGUACCGUUCGAAUAGGUCGGUACCUUGACGGUACCUAACCAGAAAGCCCCGGCUAACUACGUGCCAGCAGCCGCGGUAAUACGUAGGGGGCAAGCGUUGUCCGGAAUUAUUGGGCGUAAAGGGCGCGCAGGCGGUCUUCUAAGUCUGAUGUGAAAGCCCACGGCUUAACCGUGGAAGGUCAUUGGAAACUGGGGGACUUGAGUGCAGAAGAGGAGAGUGGAAUUCCAUGUGUAGCGGUGAAAUGCGUAGAGAUAUGGAGGAACACCAGUGGCGAAGGCGA